CUUGGCCGGGCACAAAAGUCAGUCAAGUGUCGUUUUCGGAAGACAUAAAUUUUGAGCCGGGUGGCCGGAGUGAGCAGUGUGAAUGGGCGUACGUAUGUGUGUGUGUGUGAGCUCUGCACCAGGACAGGUGUCCUGGAUGAAGGCAAAUAUAAUUGAAUAGCGGAAAAGGUUUCACAUGGAUUUAAAAUGGCGUGUGUCUGAGGCACAAUGGAGCCAAGGGAACUGAAGCAAAUGAAACGCGCUUAGUUGGUUUUAUUGCUGAAUGGAAUCGGCAGCACAAAAAGCUAUAUAAAAGGAGGCUUAAGAAGUACAAGAAAAAGCUUUGAACACGCCCACAAUUAUGAAUUGCAAGAUCAGAAAAAAAAAUAAAAAAUUACCAAUAAACACCAACAACAUCAUCAAAAGCAGCAACAGCACCAGAAGCACCAGAAGCAGCGGCAGCAGCAGCAGCAGCAGCAGCGACUGCGGCCAAGCAGGGCGCGUUGUGUAACCCUACACGUGCACACACAGAGUUAUAAAGACCCUGGACACGACACGACGACCAGGGCAGGACAGCGGCAGAGACUGGCGUAGUCAAUAGUCGUUAUUUGAUAUAGUCGAAUCCAACAAGCAGCCCAUGAUGAAACGUGCCUGGGCGGCUGACCAGUGCGACCACAUAUACACGCAAGGGGCAGGGGAACGUGGGACGUGGGACGACGGACAAGGGACCUGGGACAAGGGACGAGGCCGAGCGUUCCCAGCGCUGCAAGGGAUGAAAUCAUGCGCGCAACUCGUUUUUGGAACUGAACAGCCCAGCCGUAGGGCGGCGUGUGGACGCCACACAUACUACACACACACACACAAAGAGAGCACACACACACACACACACACACACACACACAUACAGUUCAUUCAAUCAUUCAAAUGUCCUUUGAACUAUAAAAAUACAUGACACUAAUAAAGAAAACGAACAAAUGA